rnacentral:rRNA from 1 species
AGAGUUUGAUCAUGGCUCAGAUUGAACGCUGGCGGCAGGCUUAACACAUGCAAGUCGAGCGGAAACGAUGAAAAGCUUGCUUUUCAGGCGUCGAGCGGCGGACGGGUGAGUAAUGCUUGGGAAUAUGCCUUAUGGUGGGGGACAACAGUUGGAAACGACUGCUAAUACCGCAUAACGUCUACGGACCAAAGGGGGGGAUCUUCGGACCUCUCGCCAUUUGAUUAGCCCAAGUGAGAUUAGCUAGUUGGUGAGGUAAUGGCUCACCAAGGCGACGAUCUCUAGCUGGUUUGAGAGGAUGAUCAGCCACACUGGGACUGAGACACGGCCCAGACUCCUACGGGAGGCAGCAGUGGGGAAUAUUGCACAAUGGGCGAAAGCCUGAUGCAGCCAUGCCGCGUGUGUGAAGAAGGCCUUCGGGUUGUAAAGCACUUUCAGUUGUGAGGAAAGGGGUGUAGUUAAUAACUGCAUUCUGUGACGUAACAACAGAAGAA